AUGAACGCUAGCUACAGGCUUAACACAUGCAAGUCGAGGGGCAGCAUGGUCUUAGCUUGCUAAGGCCGAUGGCGACCGGCGCACGGGUGAGUAACACGUAUCCAACCUGCCGUCUACUCUUGGACAGCCUUCUGAAAGGAAGAUUAAUACAAGAUGGCAUCAUGAGUCCGCAUGUUCACAUGAUUAAAGGUAUUCCGGUAGACGAUGGGGAUGCGUUCCUUUAGAUAGUAGGCGGGGUAACGGCCCACCUAGUCUUCGAUGGAUAGGGGUUCUGAGAGGAAGGUCCCCCACAUUGGAACUGAGACACGGUCCAAACUCCUACGGGAGGCAGCAGUGAGGAAUAUUGGUCAAUGGGCGAGAGCCUGAACCAGCCAAGUAGCGUGAAGGAUGACUGCCCUAUGGGUUGUAAACUUCUUUUAUAAAGGAAUAAAGUCGGGUAUGCAUACCCGUUUGCAUGUACUUUAUGAAUAAGGAUCGGCUAACUCCGUGCCAGCAGCCGCGGUAAUACGGAGGAUCCGAGCGUUAUCCGGAUUUAUUGGGUUUAAAGGGAGCGUAGAUGGAUGUUUAAGUCAGUUGUGAAAGUUUGCGGCUCAACCGUAAAAUUGCAGUUGAUACUGGAUAUCUUGAGUGCAGUUGAGGCAGGCGGAAUUCGUGGUGUAGCGGUGAAAUGCUUAGAUAUCACGAAGAACUCCGAUUGCGAAGGCAGCCUGCUAAGCUGCAACUGACAUUGAGGCUCGAAAGUGUGGGUAUCAAACAGGAUUAGAUACCCUGGUAGUCCACACGGUAAACGAUGAAUACUCGCUGUUUGCGAUAUACAGCAAGCGGCCAAGCGAAAGCGUUAAGUAUUCCACCUGGGGAGUACGCCGGCAACGGUGAAACUCAAAGGAAUUGACGGGGGCCCGCACAAGCGGAGGAACAUGUGGUUUAAUUCGAUGAUACGCGAGGAACCUUACCCGGGCUUAAAUUGCAGAUGAAUUACGGUGAAAGCCGUAAGCCGCAAGGCAUCUGUGAAGGUGCUGCAUGGUUGUCGUCAGCUCGUGCCGUGAGGUGUCGGCUUAAGUGCCAUAACGAGCGCAACCCUUGUUGUCAGUUACUAACAGGUUCCGCUGAGGACUCUGACAAGACUGCCAUCGUAAGAUGUGAGGAAGGUGGGGAUGACGUCAAAUCAGCACGGCCCUUACGUCCGGGGCUACACACGUGUUACAAUGGGGGGUACAGAGGGCCGCUACCACGCGAGUGGAUGCCAAUCCCAAAAACCUCUCUCAGUUCGGACUGGAGUCUGCAACCCGACUCCACGAAGCUGGAUUCGCUAGUAAUCGCGCAUCAGCCACGGCGCGGUGAAUACGUUCCCGGGCCUUGUACACACCGCCCGUCAAGCCAUGGGAGCCGGGGGUACCUGAAGUGCGUAACCGCGAGGAGCGCCCUAGGGUAAAACUGGUGACUGGGGCU
rnacentral:rRNA from 1 species